rnacentral:rRNA from 1 species
UACGUAGGGAGCGAGCGUUAUCCGGAUUUAUUGGGUGUAAAGGGUGCGUAGGCGGCUUUGUAAGUCUGUGGUCUAAGCCCGAAGCUUAACUUCGGUUCGCUACAGAAACUGCAUGGCUAGAGUACGGUAGAGGCAAAUGGAAUUUCUAGUGUAGCGGUUAAAUGCGUAGAUAUUAGAAGGAACAUCAGUGGCGAAGGCGAUUUGCUGGGCCGUAACUGACGCUGAGGCACGAAAGCGUGGGGAGCAAAUA